rnacentral:lncRNA from 1 species
GCUCAGUGUCUGCUGGGAAGACUGUGGGGUAAAAACAAUAAAGGAAAAGUGCUUCUGGGGUGUGAGAGGAAGGAAAACUCCUACUGUGUUUCCUCCCGGCCUCUGAGGAUAUCCCAAUAUAUCAAUACAGAUAGUGCCCACAUCAAUAUUCUUCUGUAAAAAGUUGGAGUGCCACAUCUACCCAGGUUUUAUCCAUGGGCUUAAUCUGGGCUUGGUUGGCUGGGCAGUGGCACUGCUCUUCUUAGAGAAGGAGGCGCACAUAUCCUUUGCAGGUUCAGAGCCAAAGCUGAUGGGUCUGUAAUUGCAUCACUUCCUUGCACAGUUGAAUUUACCACUUGGCAAAAUGGCCUGAGAUGAUGUAAGCUGCUUUGUUAAUAAGACAUAACCCUCCCUUUUCUCUCAUACCCUCUUGAAUUCUGCUCCAGGGAUGAAUGAGUUCAUCCUAGAUAAUCUCAGCAAUGAGAUCUGGUUGCUUAACUCUUCUUGGAAAGACAGCAUGGAGGCCUGAGAGUGGUAACAAAUCCAGAUGUGACACUUCUCUGUGUAUUUUGCUGAAUUAUGUGGAACAAGCUGAAGACAAACACAGGAGACUGUACCCAGUUAAAGUGUAUGCCGUGGUAUCCCGCUGGUCAGAUGAGCAGCACUGAGGGAUGCAAGGGCAGGUGAAGGACCAGGCUGGAGUGCACAGGGGACAGGAUGAAGUUACAGAUACUUACCUGAAGCUGCACGGGAAGGAGUCAAUGAGAGCUGUGGCAGAAACAGGAAGGCUGACAUGCGAAGUCAAAUGCAGAGUUGCUAUGCAUCUGAAAUUCGUUUGCAUACACUUGGAAGACAACAGAUUAUGCUGGAAAAUACUUCCUGCACUUCCACUUCAGUGCUGUUGCUCUGGGAUGGCAGGAUGGUGUUUCAAACAAAAGGUGCUGGCCAAAGUCCUGUGCUGAAAAGAGUGCAAUAUCCUUGAUGAAAUGGUAAGCCUGUUGGUAUAUGUGAUAUGUGGCAAGGGAAUCACAGAUAAUAUGUGAAUGUGUAUUACUACU